rnacentral:rRNA from 1 species
AGCAGCCGCGGUAAUUCCAGCUCCAAUAGCGUAUAUUAAAGUUGUUGUGGUUAAAAAGCUCGUAGUUGAACCUUGGGCCUGGCUGGCCGGUCCGCCUCACCGCGUGUACUGGUCCGGCCGGGCCUUUCCCUCUGUGGAACCCCAUGCCCUUCACUGGGUGUGGCGGGGAAACAGGACUUUUACUUUGAAAAAAUUAGAGUGCUCCAGGCAGGCCUAUGCUCGAAUACAUUAGCAUGGAAUAAUAGAAUAGGACGUGUGGUUCUAUUUUGUUGGUUUCUAGGACCGCCGUAAUGAUUAAUAGGGACAGUCGGGGGCAUCAGUAUUCAAUUGUCAGAGGUGAAAUUCUUGGAUUUAUUGAAGACUAACUACUGCGAAAGCAUUUGCCAAGGAUGUUUUCAUUAAUCAGGAACGAAAGUUAGGGGAUCGAAGACGAUCAGAUACCGUCGUAGUCUUAACCAUAAACUAUGCCGACUAGGGAUCGGACGAUGUUAACUUUUCUUGACUCG